rnacentral:rRNA from 1 species
GUGCACCAGUCGCGAAUUUUCUCAAUGGGGCAGCCCUGAAGGAGCGACGCCGCGUGGAGGAUGAAGGCUUUCGGGUUGUAAACUCCUGUCAUUUGAGAACAAGUGCCGGCAAGUAACUACUGCCGGCUUGAUAGUAUCAGAAGAGGAAGGGACGGCUAACUCUGUGCCAGCAGCCGCGGUAAUACAGAGGUCCCAAGCGUUGUUCGGAUUCAUUGGGCGUAAAGGGUGCGUAGGUGGCGCGCUAAGUCAGGUGUGAAAUCUCGGGGCUUAACUCCGAAACUGCAUUUGAUACUGGCGUGCUUGAGGACUGGAGAGGAGACUGGAAUUCACGGUGUAGCAGUGAAAUGCGUAGAGAUCGUGAGGAAGACCAGUGGCGAAGGCGGGUCUCUGGACAGUUCCUGACACUGAGGCACGAAGGCCAGGGGAGCAAACGGGAUUAGAUACCCGGGUAGU